UCUCUGUAGGUGAACCUGAGGAGGGAUCAUUACUGUGUGAGGGCCUUCGGGCUCGACCUCCAACCCUUUGUGAAUACAACUUGUUGCUUCGGGGGCGACCCUGCCGUUUCGACGGCGAGCGCCCCCGGAGGCCUUCAAACACUGCAUCUUUGCGUCGGAGUUUAAAACAAAUUAAACAAAACUUUCAACAACGGAUCUCUUGGUUCUGGCAUCGAUGAAGAACGCAGC
rnacentral:misc_RNA from 1 species